rnacentral:lncRNA from 1 species
GUUUUAUUGUUUCUUCCACGAAAUGAUUACAUAAAAUGAAAUCAGCUUUGCAAUCUGCACCGGCUUUGAAAUGAAGGGCAAAAUCUGGCUGGGGGUGAGGAGAAAGAAGGUGGAGAGAGAAUAAGAUGCUGUCCGUUUUCCCCCAGCCUGUGUCCAGCAGGCCAGAGUGGACCCCUCCUAUGGGCUAAAAUACUCUCGGUCUUCGGCCCAGCACAGAGCUGCACCAACCAGGGCCUGCCGCUGCCCCCCCACCAGGUGACAGGUGGGGCCGCCGAGCGGCCACCAGACCUCCGCCUCCUCGCGUUGCCUGCCGGGAGCCGGAGCCGCUUCCGGUUGCGCCCUGUCCCUGAACUUCGACUCCCGUCGGCCCCCGGGAAAACCGCAGCGGGGUAGCGCGGGCGCUGCCGGAACUUGUAGUUCCACCUCCCGCCGCGCUAAAUAGCCGGAAACGGGGGCGGCCAGAACAGAGAACUACCGAGGCGAAGCACCUGUGGAAUCCUCUCAAGAGGAACAGUCAUUGUGUGAAGGUUCAAAUUCAGCUGUUAGCAUGGAACUUUCAGAACCUAUUGAAAAUGGAGAGACAGAAAUGUCUCCAGAAGAAUCAUGGGAGCACAAAGAAGAAAUAAGUGAAGCAGAGCCAGGGGGUGGUUCCUUGGGAGAUGGAAGGCCGCCAGAGGAAAGUGCCCAUGAAAUGAUGGAGGAGGAAGAGGAAAUCCCAAAACCUAAGUCUGUGGUUGCACCGCCAGGUGCUCCUAAGAAAGAGCAUGUAAAUGUAGUAUUCAUUGGGCACGUAGAUGCUGGCAAGUCAACCAUUGGAGGACAAAUAAUGUAUUUGACUGGAAUGGUUGACAAAAGGACGCUUGAAAAGUAUGAAAGAGAAGCU